UCUCACUGAUGCAGUGCCAAUAGAUCCUUCUGACCCUCCACUGUGGACUCAAGCAGGGAGAUGAAGAGAGGACCGUGACUGAGAGA